UGGGGAAUUUUGGACAAUGGGCGAAAGCCUGAUCCAGCAAUGCCGCGUGUGUGAAGAAGGCCUUCGGGUUGUAAAGCACUUUUGUCCGGAAAGAAAUCCUUGGCUCUAAUACAGUCGGGGGAUGACGGUACCGGAAGAAUAAGCACCGGCUAACUACGUGCCAGCAGCCGCGGUAAUACGUAGGGUGCAAGCGUUAAUCGGAAUUACUGGGCGUAAAGCGUGCGCAGGCGGUUUGCUAAGACCGAUGUGAAAUCCCCGGGCUCAACCUGGGAACUGCAUUAGUGACUGGCAGGCUAGAGUAUGGCAGAGGGGGGUAGAAUUCCACGUGUAGCAGUGAAAUGCGUAGAGAUGUGGAGGAAUACCGAUGGCGAAGGCAGCCCCCUGGGCCAAUACUGACGCUCAUGCACGAAAGCGUGGGGAGCAAACAGGAUUAGAUACCCUGGUAGUCCACGCCCUAAACGAUGUCAACUAGUUGUUGGGGAUUCAUUUCCUUAGUAACGUAGCUAACGCGUGAAGUUGACCGCCUGGGGAGUACGGUCGCAAGAUUAAAACUUAAAGGAAUUGACGGGGUCAUAGCUGUUUCCU
rnacentral:rRNA from 1 species